UACGUAGGCAGCAAGCGUUGUUCGGAAUUACUGGGCGUAAAGAGUGUGUAGGCGGUGCUCUAAGUCUGUUGUGAAAUCUCCCGGCUUAACCGGGAGGGUGCGGCGGAAACUGGAGUGCUUGAGGGUGGGAGAGGUAAGCGGAAUUCCUGGUGUAGCGGUGAAAUGCGUAGAUAUCAGGAGGAACACCUGUGGUGUAGACAGCUUACUGGACCACUUCUGACGCUGAGGCACGAAAGCGUGGGGGAGCAAACAGG
rnacentral:rRNA from 1 species